rnacentral:lncRNA from 1 species
AAAUGUGAAAAUAAAAUUAAAUAAAAUAAUUAAACUAAUAAAGCAAAAAAUACAUUGUAGUCAUAUCUAGAUAAGACACAUCAAUUACGAACAACUAAAAAUAAAUGUAAAAAAAAAAACAUGAAUAGUGUAAAUAGUAUGCAUAAGCAACGAGUAAGCUAAAGGUGAAGUUUAUAUGAGUGUAGAAACUAUCAAUGCCAUUAGUCAAGUGAAUAUUACGAUGAAAAGACUCGUGAACAGUGAAGAAUUGCAAUUGUUAAAUCAAUAGAAUUGGCUUAAACCAUUGGCAGGCGGUUGUAAAUGUAAUUCCACAUGCAGAAUAAAAAGUCAAUCCUUGGUCUAUGCUUGAAAUAAAAUAUAAAAAAAAAAAAAAACUAUUAGAACUCUCUCCUCAAUACGUGACAAGACAACUGCCCCUUCAACAAUGGACACAUGAAUCUCCACUAUAGCGAAUCUCAUUGCACCUAGCUUCUGGAAUUGAAUUUCUCUCCUCUGUUCAAGCAAGAAGGUAAGAUAAAUAACCCUUUGGAGCGCUACAUCGUUCCAGGUUGCUACAGACUUUUUUUUCUCGGAUGGCGGCUCUCCACACGUUGCCCUCUUCCAACCUAAUUAAAGAUGCCCCCUCCUUGGGCCCUACUAGAUGAAGAAUUCACGUCCUGUAGAAGUUUCUCCAUGUGGGCCGCUGGACUUGCUAGACGCACCACCAAAGCUGCUCAAGCUGGACCGCGGGUGUUGCUGGAUCUUUUAACAUGAAGCCCGUGUGCUGCGUGCUUCCAAACAGCAGCUGGACAGUGCACCCCCUUUUCACGUGCUGGACAUUCCCAGGCUUGCUUCAGCAUCACACAUUUUAAAAACCCAACAUCUUUUAUUUAAUUCCAGCUUUUGACACCACCUUUGCCUUUCAUCAUCAUUUUUUU